UACGUAGGGGGCAAGCGUUGUCCGGAAUCAUUGGGCGUAAAGCGCGUGUAGGCGGUUUCGUAAGUCUGCUGUGAAAGUCGGAGGCUCAACCUUCGAAAGCCGGUGGAUACUGUGAGACUUGAGUACGGAAGAGGAGAGUGGAAUUCCUGGUGUAGCGGUGAAAUGCGCAGAUAUCAGGAGGAACACCAACGGCGAAGGCAGCUCUCUGGGACGUAACUGACGCUGAGACGCGAAAGCGUGGGGAGCAAACAGG
rnacentral:rRNA from 1 species